UCAGCUUUGGCACAGUUGGUAGUGCAUCAAGUCUUGCAAGCUGAAGUUCCUGAGUUUGAUCCUCAGAAGGAGGG
rnacentral:tRNA from 1 species